rnacentral:lncRNA from 1 species
GGAGUUUCCAGUCGUGUCCGUGCAUUUACGCAUGAACUGUUCUACCAAAGCUUCCCAAAUUUUAAUAUGUUGUUACUAAUGACAGAAUGGAGGUCAAGUUCAAUAAUGACGAAUUUGACUUUUACCGUUCAGGAGUUAUGGUUCUUGAAAGAUUGAAAAAUGGAGUUUCCAGUCGUGUCCGUGCAUUUAUGCAUGAACUGUUCUACCAAAGCUUCCGAAAUUUUAAUAUGCUGUUACUGAUGACAAAAUGGAGGUCAAGUUCAAUUAUGACGAUUUUGACAUUUACCGUUCAGGAGUUAUGGUUCUUGAAAGAUUGAAAAAUGGUGUUUCCCGUCGUGUCUGUGCAUUUUCUCAUGAACCAUUCAACCAAAGCUUUUGAAAUUUCAAUAUGUUGUUUCUGAUGACAAAAUAGAGGUCUAGUUCAAUAAUGACGAUUUUGACUUUUACCGUUCAGGAGUUAUGGUUCUUAAAAGAUCGUAAAAUGGCGUUUCCAUUCACGUUGUUGCAUUUACUCAUGAACCAUUCAAUCUAAGCUUUUCAAAUUUUAAUAUGUUGAUACUAAUGACAAAAUGGAGGUCAAAUUUGAUAUUGACGAUUUUCACUUUCACCAUUCAUCAGUAAUGGUUCUUGUGAUAUUGCCAGGACACAAAUAAAUGUUAAUAAAUCCGGUUUGCUGUCGUUGUGACAGCCUCUUGUUAAACAU